UGGCCUAAGUUGCUUUUGAAGCUAGAGGA
rnacentral:piRNA from 1 species